UGUACAGACUGAGCGGGCUGUGUUUAGU
rnacentral:misc_RNA from 1 species